GCUGGAAUCGCUAGUAAUCGCGAAUCAGAAUGUCGCGGUGAAUACGUUCCCGGGUCUUGUACACACCGCCCGUCACACCAUGGGAGUCGGAAAUGCCCGAAGUCAGUGACCCAACCGUAAGGAGGGAGCUGCCGAAGGUGGAGCCGGUAACUGGGGUGAAGUCGUAACAAGGUACC
rnacentral:rRNA from 1 species